GAUGAACGCUAGCGAUAGGCUUAACACAUGCAAGUCGAGGGGCAGCACAAGGUAGCUUGCUAUCUGGGUGGCGACCGGCGCACGGGUGCGUAACGCGUAUGCAACUUGCCCUAUACAGGAGGAUAACCCGUCGAAAGACGGACUAAUACUGCGUAUGCUCACAACUUGGCAUCAAGUGGUGAGGAAAGAAAUUCGGUAUAGGAUAGGCAUGCGUCCCAUUAGCUUGUUGGUGAGGUAACGGCUCACCAAGGCAACGAUGGGUAGGGGAACCGAGAGGUUUAUCCCCCACACUGGUACUGAGACACGGACCAGACUCCUACGGGAGGCAGCAGUGAGGAAUAUUGGUCAAUGGGCGCGAGCCUGAACCAGCCAAGUCGCGUGAAGGAUGACUGUCUUAUGGAUUGUAAACUUCUUUUAUACGGGAAUAACAAGAGUCACGUGUGACUCCCUGCAUGUACCGUAUGAAUAAGCAUCGGCUAACUCCGUG
rnacentral:rRNA from 1 species